AUCCUAUGCUGGAUGAUCGCUCCGACCUCGGUCGGAGAGGAAAGUCCGAACACCAUACUUUGAUAUUUCAAAAUGUCAAAGUAAAGCGAUAGUGGCUAACGGCCACCCUCCGUCAUUUUGUGACGGGAGCGGGCCGCCUAUAAAAUAGGCGAGCCUCGCCCCGCCAUUCGAUGGCGGGGCGGGAUAGUGUCACAGAGACUAUACAGCUAAUUGUCACAGGAAGGACCCUAAAAGUUCUUUCAGCGAAAAAAGCUACAGGUGAAAAGAGUGGGCCCGCCUUCGCGCGGGAUAUCCUUGUUUCGGCCCGCUUCGCCAAAAGCGAUAGCGAGGUGAGCGAGGUAAAGUAAAAGCCCACAGCGCUGUUUGGCGACAAACAGCGUGAGAAAAACACCUAUCCGGUGCAACCUGAAUUGCUAUAUCAAAAUUUCGAUAUUUCGAUAUGGCGAAACGGGGCUUGAGCUCGCGAGCAAUCAAGGGCCUAGACAAAUGAUCGUCGCGAUUUUGUUUGUGAAUCAUCGCUUACGAAAUCGGCACAGAAUUCGGCUUAUAGGCAUGGGAUAACC
rnacentral:RNase_P_RNA from 1 species